GACGAACGCUGGCGGCGUGCCUAAUACAUGCAAGUCGAACGCAUUUUCUUUCACCGUAGCUUGCUACACCGAAAGAAAAUGAGUGGCGAACGGGUGAGUAACACGUGGGUAACCUGCCCAUCAGCGGGGGAUAACACUUGGAAACAGGUGCUAAUACCGCAUAAUUCCAUUUACUGCAUGGUAGAUGGAUGAAAGGCGCUUUUGCGUCACUGAUGGAUGGACCCGCGGUGCAUUAGCUAGUUGGUGGGGUAACGGCCUACCAAGGCUGCGAUGCAUAGCCGACCUGAGAGGGUGAGCGGCCACACUGGGACUGAGACACGGCCCAGACUCCUACGGGAGGCAGCAGUAGGGAAUCUUCGGCAAUGGACGCAAGUCUGACCGAGCAACGCCGCGUGAGUGAAGAAGGUUUUCGGAUCGUAAAACUCUGUUGUUAGAAAAGAACAAGGAUGAGAGUGGAAAGUUCAUCCCUUGUCGGUAUCUAACCAGAAAGCCACGGCUAACUACGUG
rnacentral:rRNA from 1 species